rnacentral:rRNA from 1 species
UACGUAGGGUGCAAGCGUUGUCCGGAAUUAUUGGGCGUAAAGAGCUUGUAGGCGGUUUGUCGCGUCUGCCGUGAAAGUCCGGGGCUCAACUCCGGAUCUGCGGUGGGUACGGGCAGACUAGAGUGAUGUAGGGGAGACUGGAAUUCCUGGUGUAGCGGUGAAAUGCGCAGAUAUCAGGAGGAACACCGAUGGCGAAGGCAGGUCUCUGGGCAUUAACUGACGCUGAGGAGCGAAAGCAUGGGGAGCGAACAGG